rnacentral:rRNA from 1 species
CGACCCCAGUCAGGCGACUCCACAAUUG